rnacentral:rRNA from 1 species
AUUGAACGCUGGCGGAAUGCUUUACACAUGCAAGUCGAACGGCAGCACGGGGGCAGCCCUGGUGGCGAGUGGCGAACGGGUGAGUAAUACAUCGGAACGUGCCCGGUCGUGGGGGAUAACGUAGCGAAAGUUACGCUAAUACCGCAUACGAUCUGAGGAUGAAAGCGGGGGACCUUCGGGCCUCGCGCGAUCGGAGCGGCCGAUGUCAGAUUAGGUAGUUGGUGGGGUAAAGGCCUACCAAGCCGACGAUCUGUGGCUGGUCUGAGAGGACGACCAGCCACACUGGGACUGAGACACGGCCCAGACUCCUACGGGAGGCAGCAGUGGGGAAUUUUGGACAAUGGGCGCAAGCCUGAUCCAGCCAUUCCGCGUGCAGGACGAAGGCCUUCGGGUUGUAAACUGCUUUUGUACGGAACGAAAAGGCUCUGGCUAAUACCUGGGGCUCAUGACGGUACCGUAAGAAUAAGCACCGGCUAACUACGUG